rnacentral:rRNA from 1 species
GUCCACGCCCUAACGAUGUCAACUAGUUGUCGGGAAGCAAUUCCUUGGUAACGCAGCUAACGCGUGAAGUUGACCGCCUGGGGAGUACGGUCGCAAGAUUAAAACUCAAAGGAAUUGACGGGACCCGCACAAGCGGUGGAUGAUGUGGAUUAAUUCGAUGCAACGCGAAAACCUUACCUACCCUUGACAUGUCCAGAACCUCGAUGAAAGUUGAGGGUGCCCGAAAGGGAAUUGGAACACAGGUGCUGCAUGGCUGUCGU